AAGCUCACUUUGACAGCACAUAUACCCAAAUUGGAACAAUACGGAGAGGAUUUUCAUGACCUCUGCAAAAUGAGGACAUUACUUUUCCUGUUAUUGUGAUAAAAUAU
rnacentral:snRNA from 1 species